GGCCCCGUAGUUCAGAGGAUAGAACAAGCGUUUCCUAAACGCUGUGUCGGGGGUUCGAUUCCCUCCGGGGCCA
rnacentral:tRNA from 1 species